rnacentral:rRNA from 1 species
AUUGAACGCUGGCGGCAGGCCUAACACAUGCAAGUCGAAUGGUAACAGGAAACAGCUUGCUGUUUCUCUGACGAGUGGCGGACGGGUGAGUAAUGUCUGUGAAACUGCCUGAUGGAGGGGGAUAACUACUGGAAACGGUAGCUAAUACCGCAUAACGUCGCAAGCCCAAAGAGGGGGACCUUCGGGCCUCUUGCCAUCAGAUGUGCCCAGAUGGGAUUAGCUAGUAGGUGGGGUAACGGCUCACCUAGGCGACGAUCCCUAGCUGGUCUGAGAGGAUGACCGGCCACACUGGAACUGAGACACGGUCCAGACUCCUACGGGAGGCAGCAGUGGGGAAUAUUGCACAAUGGGCGCAAGCCUGAUGCAGCCAUGCCGCGUGUAUGAAGAAGGCCUUCGGGUUGUAAAGUACUUUCAGCGGGGAGGAAGGGAGUAAAGUUAAUACCUUUGCUCAUUGACGUUACCCGCAGAAGAAGCACCGGCUAACUCCGUG